rnacentral:rRNA from 1 species
ACGAGAGAGGACGGUACCACAGGAAUAAGUCACGGCUAACUACGUGCCAGCAGCCGCGGUAAUACGUAGGUGGCGAGCGUUAUCCGGAAUUACUGGGCGUAAAGCGUACGCAGGCGGCUUGUUUAGUCUGACGUGAAAUCUCCCGGCUUAACUGGGAGAGGUCGUUGGAAACUGACAAGCUUGAGGCAAUGAGAGGGGCAUGGAAUUCCCGGUGUAGUGGUGGAAUGCGUAGAUAUCGGGAGGAACACCAGAGGCGAAAGCGAUGCCCUGGCAUUGACCUGACGCUCAUGUACGAAAGCGUGGGGAGCAAACGGGAUUAGAUACCCCGGUAGUCCACGCCGUAAACGAUGAGUACUGGGUGUAGGCGGGGUUAGAGCCGUCUGUGCCGAAGCAAACGCGUUAAGUACUCCGCCUGGGGAGUACGGCCGCAAGGCUAAAACUCAAAGGAAUUGACGGG